GAAUCUUUGAUCUCAAAUCAGGUAGGACUACCCGCUGAACUUAAGCAUAUCAAUAAGCGGAGGAAAGAACUAACAAGGAUUCCCCCUAGUAACUGCGAGUGAAGCGGGAAGAGCUCAAAUUUAAAAUCUGGCGUGCCUCUGGUCGUCCGAAUUGUAGUCUGGAGAAGCGUUUUCUGUGUUGGACCGUGUAUAAGUCCCUUGGAACAGGGCGUCAUAGAGGGUGAGAAUCCCGUCUUUGACACGGACUACCAAUGCUUUGUGAUGCGCUCUCAAAGAGUCGAGUUGUUUGGGAAUGCAGCUCAAAAUGGGUGGUAAAUUCCAUCUAAAGCUAAAUAUAGGCGAGAGACCGAUAGCGAACAAGUACCGUGAGGGAAAGAUGAAAAGCACUUUGGAAAGAGAGUUAAACAGUACGUGAAAUUGCUGAAAGGGAAACGCUUGAAGUCAGUCACGUCUGCCAGGACUCAGCCUCGCUCCUGCUUGGUGCACUUUCUGGUUUGACGGGCCAACAUCAAUUUUGACCGUUGGAGAAAGGCUUUGGGAAUGUGGCACCUUCGGGUGUGUUAUAGCCCUUUGUUGUAUACGACGGUUGGGAUUGAGGACUGCAGCACGCCUUCAUGGCCGGGGUUCGCCCACGUACGUGCUUAGGAUGUUGGCAUAAUGGCUUUAAGCGACCCGUCUGGAAACACGGACCAA
rnacentral:rRNA from 1 species